rnacentral:rRNA from 1 species
UACGGAGGGUGCAAGCGUUAUCCGGAUUCACUGGGUUUAAAGGGUGCGUAGGUGGGUUGGUAAGUCAGUGGUGAAAUCUCCGUGCUUAACAUGGAAAUUGCCAUUGAUACUACUGGUCUUGAAUUUUCUGGAGGUAAGCGGAAUAUGUCAUGUAGCGGUGAAAUGCUUAGAUAUGACAUAGAACACCGAUUGCGAAGGCAGCUUACUACAGGGACAUUGACACUGAGGCACGAAAGCGUGGGGGAUCAAACAGG